rnacentral:lncRNA from 1 species
GUGGCUGAUGUCGAGGAAGGUCCGCAACCGAAUCACAAUAAUUAACUUGCCAAACUUUGUUCAACUUAACCAACUUCAUCUUUUGCUAGAACAUCAAAAUUCGUUCUAACUAGAAGUCUUGGUAUGAAUGUUGCCACAAGAUGUUAGUUGAUAGCCGUUGAUACUUCAACGUGAUCCGUCGGAAUUAAUCAUUUUUUGAACUAUAAAAGUCGAUGAUGUUAAGAGUAUCCAUAUCCGAUGUUGCCCGAUAUGUUUCCCAUCAAAAGCCUUAGUAACUCAAGAAUGAGAGAACUAAAUUGGCAAGGGAUUCAACAGAGACAACACGUGAUGCAGUUGCAGCAGUUUAUGGAAUAGAAACAUUCAGAAACAUGAACAUGGAUGAUACCAUAAAAUACCUCAACAACUUGGUACAAAGAGUCAAUAAAAAUAAUCAGAAGGACGACAAUGUAACGCCUCGUUGAGGAAAUAAAUUAUAAAAUGCAGAGAAAAAUAAUAAUGUGGAGCAAAAGGGGAUCAUCUUGAUGGAGAAGAAAGAAAAAGAAAAGGGCAGAACUCGAAACUGGGAAUGAGAUAAGGACGUAGAAAGGGCGAGGAACAAGGAAUGGAGGGCUUUUGUUGUGCAGCAGCUGCUAUUGACACCUCGAUACUCUGACUCAAAUGAAAGGACUGGUGUAGAGAUCGUGGUGACGUAUAGAUUAUAUAGCUUUAUACAUUGUUAGUUAUACGUAAUGUAACUAGUAUAAGUACAUGCUCAUGGCUUAGUGAGAUCAUUUAAGAUGAUUAUGUUAUUGGCACACAGCCAUAUAGAAUGUGUCUCUUGCUCUUAACCCUUGAAAUCAAUUCGCGGAGCUACUCUCUCCCAUGGAACGCCACACAAAUUGAACUCGUCUUCAGCACCAGAUGUGAACUCCCCUCAUUCCUCUAACGAGUAUUAAUGAGCAAUUAUACUUGGGUACUCAACAUUAAUUAUCCAGUGAGAAAAGUCAGACCUUUGUAUUUGCCAUGGAAUAAUCCUUCCGUCGGAUUCACUCGAUUGAACAAUUAAGUCUUAAAUGGCUGAAUAUAAUGUGUGCUUUAGUAUGAAUUUAUAUCAAUUCAAUUCAUAUGUAACUCGUACACUCCUCCCUACUCUGGAAUAAUUUCAUUUCAUCACCAUAAUUCCUGUUCAAAAAGCCGUCUUGAAACAACCAGUUGAAAUAUUGGUCGAGUCUGAAUUACCAUCGCCAACUUCAAUGCCCCUAAUAGGUCGACUAAUUCUCCUAGGACACAUAGAAUGGCUGUAUCUGAAAAGGAAAUUAGAUUCAUCUUUUAAAUAAAUUCAUUAGCUUCAAUAAGAUGCACUAUUUAUUCUUACGAUUUAUGAUGUGUAAUCCAUUGAAAGUACAAGACAAACGAUGGGAUUCUUAGCAACCAAUGGUUGUUCCAUGGCACGCGACAAACGAACGAUUCCCUUCAGGAUACAACCUACAUGGGCGAUACAAAUCGUAUGGUAGUGACACGUGAGACGAGUGUUUCUGAUUGUCGUGCGACGUGCCAUACUCAAAGACAGAUACGCUGAGUUUCUGUAUACUAAACGCUGACUUUGCUCACCCUCACACUCAAUCUCGGUAUUCACGGCGCCAUAUAAAACUGAGAGCUGGCAGGAUGCAAGAUAGAUUGAGAUUGAUCAUCACUUCUAAUGAAUUAUUUAAUACAUUAAGCAUGGAAUUUCCAAAAGUCUAGUUGAGCUAGGAAACUAAAGAGGAUUUAAUAAAUUAGAUGGGAACACGUGGCAAUGAGAUGGAUUUGACGACUAUCACAAAGCAUCCUAACAAUUGAUUUGCCGGAAAAAAUUCAGAUCUGUUGUGUAGCCUAUUUGACACGGUUACAUAUAUGGUAACUGAGCUGUAUCAUAUGAUAUAAGAGAAACGAUAUAAGACGAGCGU